UAUGUAACCUGAAGCGUAUGUAACCCGAGGUACCACUGUGUGUGUGUGUGUGUGUGUAUAUAUGUGUGUGUGUGUGUGUGUGUGUGUGCGCGCACACACACACACACACACGUAUACAUAUACAGUGGUACCUUAGAUUACAUACGCUUCAGGUUAC